CGUGCCGCUGACGGCGCCCUCCUCCCAUAGCGCUGCGGGGUGGGAUCGGGCAGGGGGCGGCGCAGGAGGGCAGAGCGCAGUGCUGGGGGUCCGCUCUGCUCCAUUUCCCCGCAGCCCCAGUCACCGCUGUGACGAAUGGAGAGCAAAAAACUCUUGUACUAAGAGCAGAGGGAUCGGCCAGCACCGCUGCACGGUGCCGAAUUGCUACAGCUCGGCACAGGGGUUGCGUUCAGUGAACUCUGAAGCUUCUGCGCUCCCUAUUCUGCAGCUGAGCGCUCCAUCUGCAGGAGAUUGUUUCUUGACAUGAAAAAUUUACUUUUUAAUGGGCCAAACUGCUGCACUCUCUAAGCUGGAUCCAAAAUAACCUCUUAGCACAUCGCUCUGAAGGGAUCUCCAGCCACCGACCAUAAAACUGAAGCGCUGCUCGUACUAAAAACCCAUUUACAAGCCAUUCCCUCCUUGUCCUUUUGCUUUCACGCCAUGGUUCUAAAGCUCUGGCGCUCACUUCUGGAAAAGGAAAAUGAUCUUUUGGAACUGAA